AUACGUAGGUGGCGAGCGUUGUCCGGAAUUAUUGGGCGUAAAGCGCGCGCAGGCGGGAAAGUAAGUCCACUUUAAAAGUGCGGGGCUCAACCCCGUGAUGGGGUGGAAACUGCUUUUCUUGAGUGCCGGAGAGGAAAGCGGAAUUCCCAGUGUAGCGGUGAAAUGCGUAGAUAUUCGGAGGAACACCAGUGGCGAAGGCGGCUUACUGGUCCAUUACUGACGCUGAGGUGCGAAAGCGUGGGGAGC
rnacentral:rRNA from 1 species